CUUUGAUCAUGGCUCAGGAUGAACGCUAGCGACAGGCUUAACACAUGCAAGUCGAGGGGCAGCGGGGGAGUGCUUGCACUCCCGCCGGCGACCGGCGCACGGGUGAGUAACACGUAUGGAACCUGCCCGCAGCAGGGGGAUAAGCGGAAGAAAUUCCGUCUAAUACCGCGUAACAACCUCGAGAGGCAUCUCUUGAGGUUUAAAGAUUUAUCGGCUGCGGAUGGCCAUGCGGCGCAUUAGCUAGUCGGCGGGGUAACGGCCCACCGAGGCGACGAUGCGUAGGGGUUCUGAGAGGAAGGCCCCCCACACUGGUACUGAGACACGGACCAGACUCCUACGGGAGGCAGCAGUGAGGAAUAUUGGUCAAUGGCCGAGAGGCUGAACCAGCCAAGUCGCGUGAGGGAAGACGGCCCUACGGGUUGUAAACCUCUUUUGUCGGGGAGCAAACAGCGCAACGCGCUUGCGCAUUGAGAGUACCCGAAGAAAAAGCAUCGGCUAACUCCGUGCCAGCAGCCGCGGUAAUACGGAGGAUGCGAGCGUUAUCCGGAUUUAUUGGGUUUAAAGGGUGCGCAGGCGGAGUGUCAAGUCAGCGGUAAAAUUUCGGGGCUCAACCCCGGCGAGCCGUUGAAACUGACGCCCUUGAGUGCGCGAGAAGUAUGCGGAAUGCGUGGUGUAGCGGUGAAAUGCAUAGAUAUCACGCAGAACUCCGAUUGCGAAGGCAGCAUACCGGCGCGCAACUGACGCUCAUGCACGAAAGCGUGGGUAUCGAACAGGAUUAGAUACCCUGGUAGUCCACGCAGUAAACGACGAGCACUAACUGUCCGGCCCGAAUGGGGGCUGGGUGGUACAGCGAAAGCGUUAAGUGCUCCACCUGGGGAGUACGCCGGCAACGGUGCAACUCAAAUGAAUUGACGGA
rnacentral:rRNA from 1 species